rnacentral:rRNA from 1 species
GACGUAGGUGGCAAACGUUAUCCGGAAUUAUUGGGCGUAAAGGGUGCGUAGAUGGCAUAAUAAGUUAUUGGUGGUAAAUCGAGGCUCAACCUCGUGGAAGCUGGUAAUACUGUUAUGCUCGAGUGCAGAAGAGGUUAACGGAACUCCCUGUGGAGCGGUAAAAUGUGAAGAUAUAGGGAAGAACACCAAUAACGGCGAAGGCAGUUAACUAUUCUGUUACUGACAUUGAGGCACGAAAGCGUGGGGAGCAAACAGG